UCUUCUGUAAUGUGGGGUGUUAUUUUAUAUUUUCGAUGGUUGUGGUGCAACUGAAGUAAAGUUUAUUCUAAUUUUGUUUUAAAUUAGUUUUUGUAAGAAAGGAGUUUAUACGAAUUACGGGCCACGUUUUACAGGCCUCGAAUGAGCUUUAAAAUAAUUAAACUGUCUUUUCAGCUAUGCUUCAAAUAAGUUUAAGAUUUUAAUAAAAUUACAAAAAAAAAACGAAUUUAACGCUUAAUUCAACUUUCUUCCGCGUGGAUUGGAAGCAAGGCAUUACCUCGUGUUAGCAUGCGUGAUGAUACAUGAUGUUGGUAGGGACAUCUGAGAAUACUUGAUGAGUACCAACAUCUCUGACAUGUUAAACUGCUCUGCGUGCAAUCUUGCUGGAGUUUACGAGCAAAGCCUAAGUUUUCUUUAUUUUUCCCACCGCCAGGUCCAUUAUCCCGAGGACUAAUAAACGCGGAGUCAGUUGGUAUGUACACCAAGUCUUAUUAAACCUAUUCUUGAUGGUUGAUUUGCUUAUGAUGACUAAAAAUGUAUAAGAGUAGUGGACAGGAGUGGUUUCUGAGAAUUUUUUUUUUGCACUGAAGCAUUGUGAGUUUUAAUUGAGGUUAAGUUAACAUGUCCCCGUUCUAAUUUUUAUUUUUUUCUUGCAGGAGUCGAGUAAAUCUGGAGCAGCAAGGAGUGUUGUGAAUUUGGAAAGCGGUGUCAAAGGAACAAUGUGCAGCACAGUUGAAUUGAAAGGUGGUUUAAGACAUUGGCCAGAGAGAUGAAGAUGCCAUCAGCUGAGCAUGUUUGACUUCUGCAUGGGCGCAAGCAUGUUUGCAGGAGUUCUACAGGGGAGCUAGUAUGUCUAGCUAUGGCAGAUUCAGCAGCUGAUCUUCAGGGUAAGUCUAGUUAAAGUGACUUGUUACGAUUACCAAAAGUGGUUUCAAACUGAUGAGUACGAAUCAGGUCUCUGAUCUUUUUGAGGACAAUGUAAAAACAUUCUGAUUUAAGGCCACGUAUG